rnacentral:rRNA from 1 species
AUUGAACGCUGGCGGCAGGCCUAACACAUGCAAGUCGAACGAGUGGCGGACGGGUGAGUAAUGUCUGGGCAACUGCCUGAUGGAGGGGGAUAAGUACUGGAAACGGUAGCUAAUACCGCAUACCAUCGGAUGUGCCCAGGUUGGAUUAGCUAGUAGGUGGGGUAAAGGCAAAUCUAGGCGACGCUCCCUAGCUGGUCUGAGAGGAUGACCAGCCACACUGGGACUGAGACCCGGUCCAGACUCCUACGGGAGGCAGCAGUGGGGAAUAUUGCGCAAUGGGCGCAAGCCGGAUGCAGCCAUGCCGCGUGAAUGAAGAAGGCCUUCGGGUUGUAAAGUACUUUCGGCAGGGAGGCGUUACCCGCAGAAGAAGCACCGGCUAACUCCGUGCCAGCAGCCGCGGUAAUAC